rnacentral:piRNA from 1 species
UGUUUUAGUUGGACGAGGAGGUUGUGGU